GCAAUUGACUUACGGUGCCAUCCAGCGGUAUGUCCCCGUCUCUGGAGUCAUUCCCUCGGUUUUUACCUCAAUUCGAGCAACUCCAAAGUCAGCAAUCUUGAUUGAUUUGUCUGCUGAAAUUAGAAGGUUGUCUGAUUUCAGAUCCCUGUGAAUAGACCCCAGGGCAUGCACAUAUGCCAUCCCCCGGGCAACAUCAAGUGCCUGUUUCACUGCCAAUCUCAGGGGCACAGACUUGGUCUGCCGGCGGGCAAGGAACUGCCUGACAGAGCCACCUUUUGCGUACUCGGUAAUGAUA